rnacentral:rRNA from 2 species
GGGUUGUGAGGUUAAGCGACUAAGCGUACACGGUGGAUGCCCUGGCAGUCAGAGGCGAUGAAGGGCGUGCUAAUCUGCGAUAAGCGCCGGUAAGGUGAUAUGAACCGUUAUAACCGGCGAUACCCGAAUGGGGAAACCCAGUGUGAUUCGUCACACUAUCAUUAACUGAAUCCAUAGGUUAAUGAGGCGAACCGGGGGAACUGAAACAUCUAAGUACCCCGAGGAAAAGAAAUCAACCGAGAUUCCCCAGUAGCGGCGAGCGAACGGGGAGGAGCCCAGAGCCUGAAUCAGCAUGUGUGUUAGUGGAAGCGUCUGGAAAGGUGCGCGAUACAGGGUGACAGCCCCGUACACAAAAGCGCAUGUGCUGUGAGCUCGAUGAGUAGGGCGGGACACGUGGUAUCCUGUCUGAAUAUGGGGGGACCAUCCUCCAAGGCUAAAUACUCCUGACUGACCGAUAGUGAACCAGUACCGUGAGGGAAAGGCGAAAAGAACCCCGGCGAGGGGAGUGAAAAAGAACCUGAAACCGUGUACGUACAAGCAGUGGGAGCACAGGUUUACCUGUGUGACUGCGUACCUUUUGUAUAAUGGGUCAGCGACUUAUAUUCUGUAGCAAGGUUAACCGUAUAGGGGAGCCGUAGGGAAACCGAGUCUUAACCGGGCGUUAAGUUGCAGGGUAUAGACCCGAAACCCGGUGAUCUAGCCAUGGGCAGGUUGAAGGUUGGGUAACACUAACUGGAGGACCGAACCGACUAAUGUUGAAAAAUUAGCGGAUGACCUGUGGCUGGGGGUGAAAGGCCAAUCAAACCGGGAGAUAGCUGGUUCUCCCCGAAAGCUAUUUAGGUAGCGCCUCGUGAAUUCAUCUCCGGGGGUAGAGCACUGUUUCGGCUAGGGGGCCAUCCCGGCUUACCAACCCGAUGCAAACUGCGAAUACCGGAGAAUGUUAUCACGGGAGACACACGGCGGGUGCUAACGUCCGUCGUGAAGAGGGAAACAACCCAGACCGCCAGCUAAGGUCCCAAAGUCAUGGUUAAGUGGGAAACGAUGUGGGAAGGCCCAGACAGCCAGGAUGUUGGCUUAGAAGCAGCCAUCAUUUAAAGAAAGCGUAAUAGCUCACUGGUCGAGUCGGCCUGCGCGGAAGAUGUAACGGGGCUAAACCAUGCACCGAAGCUGCGGCAGCGAACGUAUCACCCAAGACAACUUUACGGAGUUGACGAUUGACGGAGCGAAGCGACGUCAAAGCGUUCAUUAAAGUCGAGUUGGCUUAGGGAUACGUUCGUUGGGUAGGGGAGCGUUCUGUAAGCCUGUGAAGGUGUGUCGUGAGGCAUGCUGGAGGUAUCAGAAGUGCGAAUGCUGACAUAAGUAACGAUAAAGCGGGUGAAAAGCCCGCUCGCCGGAAGACCAAGGGUUCCUGUCCAACGUUAAUCGGGGCAGGGUGAGUCGACCCCUAAGGCGAGGCCGAAAGGCGUAGUCGAUGGGAAACGGGUUAAUAUUCCCGUACUUGGUGUUACUGCGAAGGGGGGACGGAGAAGGCUAUGUUGGCCGGGCGACGGUUGUCCCGGUUUAAGCGUGUAGGUGUGUGUUCCAGGUAAAUCCGGUUCACUUUAACACUGAGGCGUGACGACGAGGCACUACGGUGCUGAAGCAACAAAUGCCCUGCUUCCAGGAAAAGCCUCUAAGCAUCAGGUAACACGAAAUCGUACCCCAAACCGACACAGGUGGUCAGGUAGAGAAUACCAAGGCGCUUGAGAGAACUCGGGUGAAGGAACUAGGCAAAAUGGUGCCGUAACUUCGGGAGAAGGCACGCUGACACGUAGGUGAAGUGAUUUACUCAUGGAGCUGAAGUCAGUCGAAGAUACCAGCUGGCUGCAACUGUUUAUUAAAAACACAGCACUGUGCAAACACGAAAGUGGACGUAUACGGUGUGACGCCUGCCCGGUGCCGGAAGGUUAAUUGAUGGGGUCAGCGCAAGCGAAGCUCCUGAUCGAAGCCCCGGUAAACGGCGGCCGUAACUAUAACGGUCCUAAGGUAGCGAAAUUCCUUGUCGGGUAAGUUCCGACCUGCACGAAUGGCGUAAUGAUGGCCAGGCUGUCUCCACCCGAGACUCAGUGAAAUUGAACUCGCUGUGAAGAUGCAGUGUACCCGCGGCAAGACGGAAAGACCCCGUGAACCUUUACUAUAGCUUGACACUGAACAUUGAGCCUUGAUGUGUAGGAUAGGUGGGAGGCUUUGAAGUGUGGACGCCAGUCUGCAUGGAGCCGACCUUGAAAUACCACCCUUUAAUGUUUGAUGUUCUAACGUGGACCCGUAAUCCGGGUUGCGGACAGUGUCUGGUGGGUAGUUUGACUGGGGCGGUCUCCUCCUAAAGAGUAACGGAGGAGCACGAAGGUUGGCUAAUCCUGGUCGGACAUCAGGAGGUUAGUGCAAUGGCAUAAGCCAGCUUGACUGCGAGCGUGACGGCGCGAGCAGGUGCGAAAGCAGGUCAUAGUGAUCCGGUGGUUCUGAAUGGAAGGGCCAUCGCUCAACGGAUAAAAGGUACUCCGGGGAUAACAGGCUGAUACCGCCCAAGAGUUCAUAUCGACGGCGGUGUUUGGCACCUCGAUGUCGGCUCAUCACAUCCUGGGGCUGAAGUAGGUCCCAAGGGUAUGGCUGUUCGCCAUUUAAAGUGGUACGCGAGCUGGGUUUAGAACGUCGUGAGACAGUUCGGUCCCUAUCUGCCGUGGGCGCUGGAGAACUGAGGGGGGCUGCUCCUAGUACGAGAGGACCGGAGUGGACGCAUCACUGGUGUUCGGGUUGUCAUGCCAAUGGCACUGCCCGGUAGCUAAAUGCGGAAGAGAUAAGUGCUGAAAGCAUCUAAGCACGAAACUUGCCCCGAGAUGAGUUCUCCCUGAGACUUAGAGUCUCCUGAAGGAACGUUGAAGACGACGACGUUGAUAGGCCGGGUGUGUAAGCGCAGCGAUGCGUUGAGCUAACCGGUACUAAUGAACCGUGAGGCUUAACCUUACAACGCCGAAG